ensembl:miRNA
AUUCACGGUGCCUUGGAUGGAGGAUGAGAGGGGAACUGCAAGCUCCUUCAACUCGUUCUGUCCGGUGAGAAGUGAUCAA